GGAUGAACGCUGGCGGCGUGCUUGAUACAUGCAAGUCGAACGGAGAGUGUAGCAAUAUACUUUUAGUGGCGAACGGGUGAGUAACGCGUUGGUGACCUGCCCCGAAGCGAGGGAUAACAGUUCGAAAGAACUGCUAAUACCUCAUGUGAUCACCGGUUUUAGAAUCUGGUGAUUAAAGGUGAAAACCGCUUUGGGAGGAGCCUGCGUCCCAUCAGCUAGUUGGUAAGGUAAUGGCUUACCAAGGCGACGACGGGUAGGGGACCUGAGAGGGUGGUCCCCCACACUGGUACUGAAACACGGACCAGACACCUACGGGUGGCAGCAGUAGGGAAUAUUGCACAAUGGGCAAAGCCUGAUGCAGCAACGCCGCGUGAGUGAUGAAGGCCCUCGGGUCGUAAAACUCUUUUAUGAGGGAAGAGAAAGGACGGUACCUCGUGAAUAAGGAUCGGCUAACUACGUGCCAGCAGCCGCGGUAACACGUAGGAUUCUAACGUUAUCCGGAUUUAUUGGGCGUAAAGCGCGUGUAGGCGGUUUGGCAAGUUGGAUGUGAAAGCUCCGGGCUCAACCCGGAGAUGUCGUUCAAAACUGGCAGACUAGAGGACGGUAGAGCGAGGUGGAAUUCCGCGUGUAGUGGUGAAAUGCGUAGAUAUCCGGAGGAACACCAGUCGCGAAGGCAGCUUACUAAACUAUUACUGACGCUCAUGCACGAAAGCGUGGGGAGCAAACAGGAUUAGAUACCCUGGUAGUCCACGCCGUAAACGAUGAUUACUCGAUGUUGGCAAUAUACCGUCAGCGUCCAAGCGAAAGCGUUAAGUAAUCCACCUGGGGAGUACGAUCGCAAGAUUGAAACUCAAAGGAAUUGACGGGGGCCCGCACAAGCGGAGGAGCAUGUGGUUUAAUUCGAUGAUACGCGAGGAACCUUACCUGGGCUCAAACGUAGAGUGACCAUCUGUGAAAGCAGAUUUUCCUUCGGGACAGUCUACGAGGUGCUGCAUGGUUGUCGUCAGCUCGUGCCGUGAGGUGUCGGGUUAAUUCCCCCAUAACGAGCAACCCCUAUCUUUAGUUGCCAUCAGGUCAUGCUGGGGACUCUAAAGAAACUGCCUACGCAAGUAGUGAGGAAGGUGGGGAUGACGUCAAAUCAGCACGGCCCUUACGUCCAGGGCUACACACGUGCUACAAUGGUCGAUACAGAGGGCAGCUACCUGGUGACAGGAUGCAAAUCUCGAAAAUCGAUCUCAGUUCGGAUCGAAGUCUGCAACUCGACUUCGUGAAGUUGGAUUCGAUAGUAAUCGCCUAUAAGCCAUGAUGCGGCGAAUAAGUUCCAGGGCCU
rnacentral:rRNA from 1 species